AGCGAACGCUGGCGGCAGGCCUAACACAUGCAAGUCGAGCGCUCGUAGCAAUACGAGAGCGGCAGACGGGAGAGUAACACGUGGGAACGUACCCUUUGGUUCGGAACAACACAGGGAAACUUGUGCUAAUACCGAAUAAGCCCUUACGGGAAAGAUUUAUCGCCGAAGGAUCGGCCCGCGUCUGAUUAGCUAGUUGGUGGGGUAAUGGCUCACCAAGGCGACGAUCAGUAGCNGGUCUGAGAGGAUGACCAGCCUCAUUGGGACUGAGACACGGCCCAAACUCCUACGGGAGGCAGCAGUGGGGAUAUUGGACAAUGGGCGCAAGCCUGAUCCAGCCAUGCCGCGUGGAUGAUGAAGGCCUUAGGGUUGUAAAGUCCUUUUAACGGGAAGAUAAUGACGGUACCGUAGAAUAAGCCCCGGCUAACUUCGUG
rnacentral:rRNA from 1 species